GCACAAUUAUAUUAGGUCGAAGAAGCCGCCACUGCCGGAUCUGGCGCAGCGCUAGGGCACAACGUGCGUUGGCGAGGCAGGCGAGCGUGCCGUGGGUCUGCGUGCCCUUGGAGCUCCUCCAGGUGACGUAGGGCCAUCACGCCAAUUCACAGUUCGAGAUCCGACGCUGGAGCCGCCGCUCCACCAGCUCAUCGGCGGUAGCUCCGUGCGGACAGCGACGUCGACGCGUCGUCAUCUGGUGGCAUGGCAGCGGUGGUCCUCACCGAUGGCUCAGCCAUCCGCAAGAGCGCAAGCAUGGGGACCUCUCCCUCGUCUUCGCGGGGUCCACCAGCGACAGCGCGUCCCCAACUGUUGGGCCCGACCUCGCCGACAGCGGUGUGGGGCCAUGACUUCGAACGACAUCGUCCUCCGCGAGCCAUGAGCGUAAAAAGGUUAGGUACUGCCCUAUCUCUGCCCCUCCUCUCUAAUCGAUCAAUGGUAAUAGCACACUACGAGUACUCUUGCCAUUGUAUUCCAUUAGCGACAAAUCUGCUAGAAAACUAUGUUAUGGCUAGAAACUGUUAGAAGUUUCAGGAAUGGUGUUUUAUGUUACCUCGUCAUAUUUUUCAAGAUACAUGUCUUGUGGUCGAAAUUUCUUAAGAUUUCUUAGUUGUCUUAUAGUUUUGAUUAAGUUGACAACUUGAAGUCUGGAUAGAGAAAUUAAUGAUGAACCAGUGUGCAAUAUAAGACAUAUAUCAUAUUUAAUGGUUUAGUGACAUCCUUAUUAGCACCCGUUUUGAGGACAUGGACUUCCACAUACGUGGCUGAUUCUCUUGAACCAUGACGGUACAAUCUCUGAUUUCAACUGAAGAAAAUCUCUGCUUUCCUGUCCUUUCCCAUGAAAAUCGUCCGAGAGAUGACUAGGAUGAAGGAUGAGAGGAAUAGGCUGAGGAUGAUCAUGGCACAGUACUUGGUGUGGCUUCAUUCUUCAUGCAAGAUCUGAGCAACCUUGAGUAGCAAAUCGAGGGGAAGGGUACGAGCAGCUUCGGCAAGCGCCGGAACAAGACGCACACGCUCUGCAUCCGCUGCAGCAGCCGUAGCUUCCACCUCCAGAAGAGCACCUGCUCCUCCUGCGAUUACACUGCCGCCCGCAUCCGCAAGUAAGGACAAGCCUCCACGUCGAUAGAAGCAAAUCAAUCCAUUUCGUUUGACAAGUAGAAGAUUAUCUGUGUUCAACCAAAUGGACAUAAUUAGUGCUGUUUUGCAAAAGCAUUUUGGAUUUUCCAGUCUCAAAGCAUUCCAAAAGGAAGUCUUGGAUGCUUGGUUUGCUCAUGAGGAUUGUGUUCUCCUAGCAGCCAUAGGAUCAGGAGGUACCAAAGGAAAUGAGCAAAACAUAGCAUACAGUCUCAGAUGCUGCAGGAUCACAUGAAAAUUAUUGAAGACGACGGUCCAGGGACCUCUCAAGCAACAACCUCAAUGGAUAAGGCAUAUUAAAUACAUUACUUCUUCAGCAUCAUGGGAGAAAAUCUUACUGUCAGGGUUCAGAGGAUGUUGUACGCAACUUUUAAUGAAGGGCUUUGUUGGUGUUGCGACAAAGAUACAUGCCAAGAGCAGUAUGGUUGCAGGUGAAGCAGUGAGUAACAUCUGCGUUAUAGUGGCAUUCAACGUUCAAAGCAAGAAAUGUAUUUGGUUUAAUUAUUGCAAGCAGUGAUCUGAAAUAUGUAAAUUAUCUUUAUAUGGUCUUUGCAAGGGAACACAUUUUCUGGCUCUAUACCAUCAGUGAUUAGCCCUGUACAAAUUUUAUUGAAAGAAAAACUAAAGGAAUGUUUUUU